rnacentral:rRNA from 1 species
GGGUCAGUAGGUUGGUCGUGCCACCGGUACGUACUGGUCUCGCUGAUUCCUCCUUCCUGAAGAACCGUAAUGCCAUUAAUUUGGUGUUGCGGGGAAACAGGACUGUUACUUUGAAAAAAUUAGAGUGUUUAAAGCAAGCUAACGCUUGAAUACAUUAACAUGGAAUAAUGAAAUAGGACGAUCGAUCCUAUUUUGUUGGUUUCUGGGAUUGACGUA